ACUCCACCGCUGCUGCCAGUACCAGUCCUGUGCGUCCAAAGCCUGCCUGCAGGGUAGCCAUCAGCAGCCAGGGCCAGAGGGCAGCCAGCUGCAGCUGGUGGCCACCACUCAUGCUACCAGCUGCAGCAAUGCACUUCAACCAUACAUACUGCUUCCACUAGCUAAUACCAAAUGCAGGUUCUCAGAUCCAGACAAAUGGAGGAAAAGAACAUUUAUGCUUCAGUUUCAGAAAGCCAAGUCGUAGUUUUGGCCCUUCCUUUCUCUAAAGUUUAUUCCCAAGAACAGGUAGCAUUCCUGAUUGGGCAGAGAAGAGGAUAUUUUCAGCCCACAUCUGCUGCAGAUCCUGCUCAAAAAAGGUUUCAACUGCUUAACCAAGUACAGCUCAUUCUUCCACCUUCUUACUCUGCAACCAAACCAAGUGCCCCAUACUACAGCAUAUAAAAUGAUCAAGUCUUGAAAGAGAAAAGAAGCAAAGUAGCAAAUACAUCAACAAUUCACUAUCAGAAACACAUAAAAUCCCAGGGAGAGAAGGCACUAUCUCUGAAUCAUGGAUGGACUUGGAAAGUUCGGAAGGAUUCGAGUGCUUCCUUCCUUUCAGAAAGACAAUUCUGGAUCAACUCCCUAGAGCAGGAAGCCUGUGGUUUGUAAUUGGUGUUCUAGCUCUGACUCCCUCCCCUGGGACUGCAAUCACGCUCUCUACCUGCUGACAAAGUGAGGGUGGAGCUGCUAGAGGCAACCACCCCCCACCCUACCCCCCUCCUCCUGGUGCGCACACACAACACUUACUUAACCAGACACGUUCUUUCGCUCUCUCCCCUCGCUCAGCUCCUCUACUCCCUCUACUGAGCCACAGCUAAACUGCAUCCAAUUCAAUCCUGAGUAAGCAAGCUACCACAUGCAAAUCAGGGCCACUCAAAGAUAUCUAAGCAGACUCUGCACCCAACAGAGCAUAGAUGAUGGUAUGAGGAAAUAAACAGAAAAAAAUAAAGGUAAUCCGGAAGAUAAAAGAAUGGACACAAGGUUUUGCAAAUGUAAGUUCAAAAGGAUUUCUGCUCAUUCCAAGUUUGAGUGUCUAUAAAUGGCAGAAAGCCAGAAUAAAGUGAUCCUGUGUUUUAGU